GUGCUUACUUUGGCAGCACAUACCCUAACAUUUGAACAAUACAGAGAAGAUUACCAUGGUCCCCGCAAAAGGAUGACACACAAAUUCCUGAAGUGUUCCACUUUUAA
rnacentral:snRNA from 1 species